AUCAGGUGCCAGGACGAAGCUCUUAGUGUUACGGAUUGAAUUGCAUUCCCUUGAAAGAUGUUGAAGUUCUAACCCGUAGUGCCUGUGAAUGUGACCUUAUUUGGAAAUGGGGUCCUUGCAGAUGAUUAAGUGAAGAUGAAGACAUUAGGGUGGAAAGUUUGGACUCAGAGACAGAGAUGCACACAAGGAAAAGGCCAUGUGAAGAUGAAGAGAUUGGAGUGACGCGCCAACAAGCCAAGGAACAACAAAGAUCGCCACCAAAACACCAGAGGCAAGGAGAGAGGCCGAGAACAGAUUCUCCCUCAUAGCCCUUCGAAGGAUCCAAGCCCAUGACACCUUAAUUUUGGACUUCUACUCUCCAGAGCUGUGAGAGGAUACAUUUCGGUUAUUUUCAGCCACCCAGUUUACGGACUUUGUUAUGGCAGCCUUGGGAAGCAAAUGCACUCAGUACAUGUUAAUUUGUAUCUUACCUACUUUGUACUUGCAAGGUGUCUCUGGGUCUCUGGUGUACACCACGGCCUGCCCUUGAGCAUGCUGGGGUGCUCAGCACGGGGGUAGCCCUGCAGCCUGACUCUCUGUAGACAGAUCAGGAUCGGUCUAACAUGGAAUUAUGAAGUGGAGCCAGGGUCAGCUUUGGGCCACGCCUGCCUUCUGUGCCGGCCUUGGAUUAUGUUCAAAUUCAUCUCAUGCUACCCCAGCAGAAAAGAGUGUCUUCAAUAAAUUCACUCAAAAGGAGGUACCAGUGAAGAAAUUGUCCCUCCCAAGUGAAUGAGUCACACCCAAAUGCUAAGAUCUGAUUCCUUGGUGCCUGGUUGGGAAAGAUUUUGGGGUCAAGGAGGGGCCCACCCAGACUCCCACACCUGCGUGCCCUGUAGGCCAUGCACCCCGCGUACUGUUCUCUGCACAGAUCUCAUGCUGCCAGACAUCAGGGAUCUUUUCUAGCAGAGAAGGCUAUGUAAGCAGCCCAGGUAAACACCUCAGGCCUUCACAGAAAUAAGGGCCACCUCAGAGAGCAUUUGGAAAUAGAGAGGUUAGAGGACCCAAGGGAGUCCAAGGGACUUAUGGUUAAAGCUUGGAAAACAAUUAGAGUUGGAAUGCUCACCCAGCAGCAGCCAGGGGACCUGCCCAGCACUGCUCUCCAGAAACUCCAGGAGCAAAAUUCUGUUAGGUUGAUUUUCAGGAAAGGAAAAGAAAUCC
rnacentral:lncRNA from 10 species